CCGCAUUCAGUUGAAUUCAUGGUGUGUUUUCUGCUGCUAUUGCUCUAGCCAUCUUUCUUCAUUUGUUCUCAGUUCCUUGGUUAACCAUGAAGCUUCCUGAGCUCUUCUAAGUAGGAGAGUACAUGCUAUCUUCCCAUUCCAAAGGAUUGGUCCGAACUUCAACAGGAACACCAAGUAGAGAAGCCAUCCAUCUAGAUUCCUCAGUCUCUGCAGGUGGAUCUUUCAUCCCUGCAGAAGUGAUCUGUCCAAGACAAUGGAGCUACACUAAGGUUCUCUCAGUCUCCUCCUACUUCAGAUCAAAAC